GAUACGGGAGGCUGCAGUGGGGAAUCUUGCGCAAUGGGCGAAAGCUUGAAGCAGCCAUGCCGCGUGAAUGAUGAAGGUCUUAGGAUUGUAAAAUUCUUUCACCGGGGACGAUAAUGACGGUACCCGGAGAAGAAGCCCCGGCUAACUUCGUGCCAGCAGCCGCGGUAAUACGAAGGGGGCUAGCGUUGCUCGGAAUUACUGGGCGUAAAGGGAGCGUAGGCGGACAUUUAAGUCAGGGGUGAAAUCCCGGGGCUCAACCUCGGAAUUGCCUUUGAUACUGGGUGUCUUGAGUAUGAGAGAGGUGUGUGGAACUCCGAGUGUAGAGGUGAAAUUCGUAGAUAUUCGGAAGAACACCAGUGGCGAAGGCGACACACUGGCUCAUUACUGACGCUGAGGCUCGAAAGCGUGGGGAGCAAACAGGAUUAGAUACCCUUGUAGUCGAAUUCU
rnacentral:rRNA from 1 species